rnacentral:rRNA from 1 species
UACGGAGGUCCCAAGCGUUGUUCGGAUUCAUUGGGCGUAAAGGGUGCGUAGGUGGCGCGCUAAGUCGGGUGUGAAAUUUCGGAGCUUAACUCCGAAACUGCAUUCGAUACUGGUGUGCUUGAGGACUGGAGAGGAGACUGGAAUUCAUGGUGUAGCAGUGAAAUGCGUAGAGAUCAUGAGGAAGACCAGUGGCGAAGGCGGGUCUCUGGACAGUUCCUGACACUGAGGCACGAAGGCCAGGGGAGCAAACGGG